GAGCCCGUGGCUCAAUGGUAGAGCAUUUGACUUCAAUACAAAAUUUCGCGGGUUCG
rnacentral:tRNA from 1 species